UUCUUUUUUUUUUGAGAUGGGGUCUUGCUAUGUUGCCCCAGUUGGUCUUGAACUCCUGGGCUCAAGUAAUCCCCUUACCUCAGCCUCCUGAGCCAGCAAUUUCUCUAUGUGUUGUUUCCUGUCUUUCAAUGGUGGCCCUGCUGCUGCUCUUCCAAGAAGCACAUACGCUGUGCCCCAGGCCUCCCACUGAAGGCCUUAUGCCUCUAGGCAGAAUGGUGCCAUCUCAGGUGGGGUCCAUAGAUAGUUUAAAAUACCAGCCAAGCUGACCAAACUCUUUAUGCCAGAGUCCAACCAUGGGCCUCUAACUCCCACAUCAUUUGCUCUGCCCUGUUCGUUCCUCAGAUUCCAGGAAGCCUGAGCGCCUCAUUCAGCCAGAUGAUGCAAUUUACACCUGGCUUUGAGGAAAAGCAGGGAUGUGGAAAGACAAGAGCAGCUUUCAGAAUUAGCUUUUGUUAGUGGAAAGACCCUGGAUUUAAAGCCAGAGGACAAGAGUUUUGGAGAUAGCAGUGCUGCUGCCACUUAGUGCCUGGAAUUCUGUUACCCUUACUCUCAUCUAUAAAACAGAAGAAAUAAGCUCUGCCCCACAGGACUGGUGUCAAGAUGAACUCAUGUAAACGUAUAUAGCUCGGCACCUUGGUUUCAUAAAUAUUAGCCUUUUCCUCACAUGGAAAAGUGCUUUGAGAACCAGAAAGCCCGAUAAACCAUAUGGCUUUUGAUGAAAACGAGGCACAUUUUGGAGUCAGAUAUAGGAGAGAAUCUCCCUUUAUGAGCUGUGCACCUGAGGCAAAUUGCACAGCCUCUCUGGGCUUCAAUUUUUCACCUGUAGAAUGAGGAUGAUAAUCUCAGCUUAUUAAAAGGAUUGAAACAGAGUAAAAUA
rnacentral:lncRNA from 1 species